rnacentral:lncRNA from 1 species
UCUCCUGUAGGUUCGUCCAUUGACUAAAUCGUUUGCUCUUCGAUGUUCCAGGUUUGGUGUCUAGAAAAGAAGAUCCAGGUUUGGAAUUGUAAGAGGUCAUAAUUAACCAAUGUAGGCUGGAGAAGGCAUUGCUUCUUUACAUGAAUGUGCUUCCUUUUUAUGUAGUGGAAAAUAAUUCCGUGCCGCUAGCUCAUCCAUGAUAACCAUCUAUUUCAUAUUUAUCUAAUUAUGCAAGAAACCAACUAUUUAUAUCUUCCAAUACAUCAAGCUAGUAGUCUCAGGAACCUGAAAUCAGCUUAAACCAUAGCAGUAUUUUGUUUUCAUCAAAGAGCUUUGUUGUGGCAAAAAUACUAAGUCGUGAGGAACAUUUGGAUGCAAAGCACCCAUGUUCCUGAGAGAAACCCAUGUUGUACAUUUCUGUUCUCUCGUUUUUACUUUGCGAAGUUAUCUCAAGCAUCUGCUUUUAUUUUGGUGCAGGUAGAUUUUACAAAUGGAUGCCCAGGCUUAAAUAGUUACAAAUGACAUAGCAGCAGAAGGACAGAUGUAUUGGAUAGCUUCUGCUAUUGACUUUCCUGUUCAUUUCAGUACUUUGACUUAUCGAAAGCGGCGAACUGAAGGAAGCUUCGUCUGCGAAAAAACAUACUGCUGGAUUUUCAGUGUAGCUGGUGUUCCUAUUCACGCUUAAAAAGUGCUUCAUAAUAGCCUCAUUUUACAAUUCAAGUUGGGCGUUUCCGAGUUGUGCGGAGCUCCUGUUUUGACCUGUCUCUGUAAUGGGUGUUCUGAGUUAUGAUUUUAGGUUUGUUUGUCUGGUGUGUCAGGUAGAGAUACUGGCUCUCUCAUGGAUGCAAAAUAAAAAUAUAACUUUAUUACCUUUAUGAUAUAAAUUGUGAACGAUGACCUCCAAAUGCACAAGCAAACUAGACAAUGCAGAAUUCAAAUGAGAAUACUUGUUGAUGUGUACUUUCUAUUUUUUUUU